UCUAAGACGAGCGGGAGAACCCUUGUUAAGGAACUCGGCAAAAUGACCCCGUAACUUCGGGAGAAGGGGAGCCAUCGAGAGAUGGCCGCAGUGAAGAGGCCCAAGCGACUGUUUAUCAAAAACACAGGUUUCUGCUAAGGCGAAAGCCAAGGUAUAGGAGCUGACUCCUGCCCAGUGCCGGAAGGUCAAGGGGACUUGUUAGCAGCAAUGCGAAGCAACGAACUUAAGCCCCGGUGAACGGCGGCCGUAACUAUAACGGUCCUAAGGUAGCGAAAUUCCUUGUCGGGUAAGUUCCGACCCGCACGAAUGGCGUAACGAUCUGGGCACUGUCUCAACAGCCCGCCCGGCGAAAUUGUAGUAUACGUGAAGAUGCGUAUUAACCCGCGACUGGACGGAAAGACCCCGUAGAGCUUUACUGUAACUUGAUAUUGAAUCUCGGCAACUGAUGCACAGAAUAGGUGGGAGACUGAGAAGCCAUGUUUUCGGGCGUGGCGGAGUCAACUUUGGGAUACCACUCUUCGGUUGCUGCGAUUCUAACCGGAUACCGUGAAACCGGAUUCGGAACAUUGUCAGGUGGGCAGUUUGACUGGGGCGGUCGCCUCCUAAAAUGUAACGGAGGCGCUCAAAGGUUCCCUCAGAAUGGUUGGAAAUCAUUCGACGAGUGUAAAGGUAUAAGGGAGCUUGACUGUGAGACAGACAUGUCGAACAGGUGCGAAAGCAGGACUUAGUGAUCAGGUGGUAUGAGAAUGGAAUUGCCAUCGCUUAACGGAUAAAAGUUACCUCGGGGAUAACAGGCUUAUCUCCCCCAAGAGUUCACAUCGACGGGGAGGUUUGGCACCUCGAUGUCGGCUCGUCACAUCCUGGGGCUGAAGCAGGUCCCAAGGGUUCGGCUGUUCGCCGAUUAAAGUGGCACGCGAGCUGGGUUCAAAACGUCGUGAGACAGUUUGGUCCCUAUCCAUCGUGGGCGUAGGAUAUUUGAGAGGGUUUGUCCUUAGUACGAGAGGACCGGGAUGAACGCACCUACCGUGCAUCUGUUGUCGCGCCAGCGGCAUGGCAGGGUAGCGGUGUGCGGAUGAGAUAAACGCUGAAAGCAUCUAAGCGUGAAACUCGCCUCAAGAUAAGAUAUCCCAUA
rnacentral:rRNA from 1 species